rnacentral:rRNA from 1 species
AGAAUGAACGCUGGCGGCGUGCUUAACACAUGCAAGUCGAACGGAAUACAAGGAGCUUGCUCCGAACUAUUUAGUGGCGAACGGGUGAGUAUCACGUGAGCAACCUGCCCCGAAGACUGGGAUAACACCGGGAAACCGGUGCUAAUACCGGAUGUCUUUCAACGGUCGCAUGAUCGAGGAAAGAAAUGUUUUUUCGCUUUGGGAGGGGCUCGCGGUCCAUCAGCUUGUUGGCGGGGUAACGCCCACCAAGGCUACGACGGAUAGCUGGUCUGAGAGGACGAUCAGCCACACUGGAACUGAGACACGGUCCAGACUCCUACGGGAGGCAGCAGUGGGGAAUCUUGCGCAAUGGACGAAAGUCUGACGCAGCAACGCCGCGUGAGGGACGAAGGCUUUCUGAGUUGUAAACCUCUUUCGACUAGGAACGAUUGUGACGGUACCUGUAGAAGAAGCACCGGCCAACGUAUGUGCCAGCAGCCGCGGU